GACGAACGCUGGCGGCGUGCUUAACACAUGCAAGUCGUACGGUAAGGCCCUUUCGGGGGUACCCGAGUGGCGAACGGGUGAGUAACACGUGAGUAACCUGCCCACAACUUUGGGAUAACGCUAGGAAACUGGUGCUAAUACUGGAUAUGUGCUACUGCUGCAUGGUGGGGGUUGGAAAGCUCCGGCGGUUGUGGAUGGACUCGCGGCCUAUCAGCUUGUUGGUGGGGUAGUGGCCUACCAAGGCGGCGACGGGUAGCCGGCCUGUGGGGGUGACAGGCCACAUUGGGACUUAGAGACGGCCCAGACUCCGACGGUUGGCAGAAGUGGGGAAUACUGCACAAGCGGCGCAAGCCGGAUGCAGCAGCGCCGCGGGCGGGAUAGCGGCCUUCUGGUUGUAAACCGCUUUCAGCAGGGACGAAGCUUGUUGUGACGGUACCUGCAGAAGAAGCACCGGCUAACUACGUG
rnacentral:rRNA from 1 species